ensembl:antisense Gm28988 predicted gene 28988
GAAACAAUAUGAAAAAAACCCAUACUAUCAUCUUGUUUACAUGUAGAUAAUGUACUCUACAUGCUAUGUGCUUAGAAAUACUUAGGACAUAGUAAAUAACGGUGUCACCUGUUAUUAUACAACUAGACAGUCAAAACAGUUAAUUUAUCACAAGGGUUAUCAUAAUGAAGGAAAGGAGGUUGGUUUAAUAAUGCAUAUGGGUAUGAGAAAUGAGAAUUUCCAAACUCAAAAUGGUACAUGUGUACAAGUGCAACUCAAAUUAACGCUAGCAACGUAAAUUUAAUUAUUUUUAGAACAUUCCUAUGCCCAUGUAAAUAACCUGUAUUGAGUCAGCUAACUCUAGUUCUGCCUAAAAACACUGACUCCCAAAAGAGCCAUACUGGUCUCUGUGUUCAAUUUUCUUAAAAUAGCAAUUUUAUGCUUCAAAGAACGAAGAAGCUACUUGCAAGCACUAUCAGAAAUUACUGUAAUAGUUAUGUUUAGCCAAAAACAGACUGACUGGUGUAUAACCUGUUGUAUUAAGGUAAUAUUAGGAGCUAUAGUAAGAACCAUAAGAGAGUUUUCUCAGACUAGAAAUCAAAGUAUAAAAUAAGCACACCAUUUUCGUAAAAUACCCUGAUUUUCCAUCGAAAGCCCAGAAGAGUUAAUAGCGCUGGGUGGUGCGUUCCUCGUACUCAAUGUCCACUCGUUCUCAAACCAAGCAAAGGUCCAACUAUGGCAAUGCUUUCUUUCAAAUUGCCUUAAGCACAUAUUAUCAAGUCCUCACUAUUAAACUCAAGUAUUUACAAUCUAUUCAUGAUCUACUUUGGGCACUACACUGUUUUAAUCUACAGUUUGUAUAAAAUGUUACCAUAUUUGGAUGAUAACAAUGUGCGUGGAUUCAUUCAAUGAGAAAAGCAUAAAUUUCAAGGGAAGCAGACAGGUGGCCUAACCGUUGGCAUUUUCAAGCACAAUGAAAAAGAAAUUGGUUUGUUACUAAAAUUAUGGAGCUAGUAUGUAGUACUUAUGUUUGAAAUUCUCCAUAACAAAUGUUUUAAAAGACUGUAUUAUUCUGAAGAGCAAUAAACAAAUAUGAUUAUCUUAAACAGCCGGCUUAGACACGCGCCCGUUAAUAACAUGCUGCUGUUGUGUUACUAGCCUUGUCGUAAAAAUCACGUUCACUUAAAAGAUUUUUGUGUAACAUUUUUCAUUUAUUUGUUUACUUUCUUACUGUGUGUGUAUGCGUGCAUGCACUUGCACACAAGAGUGCACACACACACACGCACAGAUGUGGAGGUGAGAGGCCACUUGCACACAGAGUGCACACAUGUACAGAUGUGGAGGUGAGAGAGGCGCCAGCCUUUGGAGGUUGGUUCUCCCUGCCCAUCAUGUGGGUUCCGGAGUCCAAUUCAGGUCAUCACCUGCUAAGCCAUUUCAACCAGAACCUGAAGUGCUUAUUUUCAAUAAAUAUUUAUUUAAAAUAAAUCAUGUAGGAAGAACAUUUGGUUUGGAUUGUUUUUCUAAAGCCAAAAAUCCAGCAACCAAAAAAAUUAGUCUUUAAGUGUAUUUGAUUAGCUUUUUGUUUUGGUUUUGGAUUUUUUUUGUUUGUUUAUUGUUGUUUUUUGCCAAAGGCUAACUAUAAAAUGAGAAAACUUGGUAAUUAGAUUAAAAUAACUAACUUUUAUACUAGCUUAUUAGACACUAGGCAGUGUCUUGACUGUUUUAUACACACACACACACACACACACACACACACACACACACAAGUCCACUCCUUGCCCUAGAAACUUGACAAAGCUCUUCCUGUUUUACAGAGAGAAAGUGAGAAGGCAGUCAGUGACUUGCUCUCAUCACAUAGCACUGGCAAUUCUGAUCUAGCCACCAGCUGUGCUACACUC